CGAACAAAGUCCCGAAUUGCGUCCUAACACGAAUGGAGAAACUGUUGUCAUUCUGUUAGGACGCAAUUCGGCAGUUUUGCCGGCGUUCUCUCUAAGUGACAGGACGUUCGGCAAUACUGACAGGAAGCAUUGUGGGAACAGGGAGGAAAGCUAAGGAUCAUGGGAAAAUUGCUCUGACCAGCGGAAAUGAAGCACACUUUGCUCCUCCGCUGGUCAUGGCGCAGGAAACCUCCAGAAGAGAAAUAGUCCCCUACUGUGUCUUAUAUUUUAAAGAAAACUAGAGCAGGCAGGAAGAAAUGAAUAACCGAUCCUGAAAGAGGGAGAGAAGAGGAAUCGAUUGGGGAAAGGUAAGUUCGGCAUGACAGUGCCACUUUAAUCUGUGAUAAUGCGCCAUUUUCAAUGCAGUGUCAGCUGCAACAGAGCUGUGCUUACUGUUUUUACUAGGG
rnacentral:lncRNA from 1 species